rnacentral:rRNA from 1 species
AGUGAACGCUGGCGGUAGGCCUAACACAUGCAAGUCGAACGGCAGCACAGUAAGAGCUUGCUCUUACGGGUGGCGAGUGGCGGACGGGUGAGGAAUACAUCGGAAUCUACUUUUUCGUGGGGGAUAACGUAGGGAAACUUACGCUAAUACCGCAUACGACCUACGGGUGAAAGCAGGGGAUCUUCGGACCUUGCGCGAUUGAAUGAGCCGAGGUCGGAUUAGCUAGUUGGCGGGGUAAAGGCCCACCAAGGCGACGAUCCGUAGCUGGUCUGAGAGGAUGAUCAGCCACACUGGAACUGAGACACGGUCCAGACUCCUACGGGAGGCGGCAGUGGGGAAUAUUGGACAAUGGGCGCAAGCCUGAUCCAGCCAUACCGCGUGGGUGAAGAAGGCCUUCGGGUGGUAAAGCCCUUUUGUUGGGAAAGAAAAGCAGCAGGUUAAUACGCCGCUGUUCUGACGGUACCCAAAGAAUAAGCACCGGCUAACUUCGUG